rnacentral:rRNA from 1 species
ACGACUCUCGGCAACGGAUAUCUCGGCUCUCGCAUCGAUGAAGAACGUAGCGAAAUGCGAUACUUGGUGUGAAUUGCAGAAUCCCGUGAACCAUCGAGUCUUUGAACGCAAGUUGCGCCCGAGGCCACUCGGCCGAGGGCACGCCUGCCUGGGCGUCACGCCACCCAU